UAACCUACCCAUCAGAGGGGGAUAACACUUGGAAACAGGUGCUAAUACCGCAUAACAGUUUAUGCCGCAUGGCAUAAGAGUGAAAGGCGCUUCGGGUGUCGCUGAUGGAUGGACCCGCGGUGCAUUAGCUAGUUGGUGAGGUAACGGCUCACCAAGGCCACGAUGCAUAGCCGACCUGAGAGGGUGAUCGGCCACACUGGGACUGAGACACGGCCCAG
rnacentral:rRNA from 1 species